rnacentral:rRNA from 1 species
CAACCUGAGAGUUUGAUCCUGGCUCAGAACGAACGCUGGCGGCAGGCCUAACACAUGCAAGUCGCAGGGGAAGCAUGUCUUCGGAUGUGUGGAGACUGGCGCACGGGUGAGUAACGCGUGGGUAUCUGCCCUGGGGUGGGGGAUAACCGCUGGAAACGGCGGCUAAUACCGCAUACGCCCUUUGGGGGAAAGCCGAGAGGCGCUCUGGGAGGAGCCCGCGUCCGAUUAGCUUGUUGGUGGGGUAACGGCUCACCAAGGCUACGAUCGGUAGCUGGUCUGAGAGGAUGAUCAGCCACACUGGGACUGAGACACGGCCCAGACUCCUACGGGAGGCAGCAGUGGGGAAUAUUGGACAAUGGGCGCAAGCCUGAUCCAGCCAUGCCGCGUGAGUGAAGAAGGCCUUAGGGUUGUAAAGCUCUUUCACCCGUGAAGAUGAUGACGGUAGCGGGAGAAGAAGCCCCGGCUAACUCCGUGCCAGCAGCCGCGGUAAUACGGAGGGGGCGAGCGUUGUUCGGAAUUACUGGGCGUAAAGGGCGCGUAGGCGGGCGAUCAAGU